UUCUUCUUUUGCUUUAUUUCUGUACAAAAAUAUAUACCGUGCCUUCAUACCUCGGCCACCUGCAAAUUCCCAAGCCUUUCGCCGCCUUCUACUACUACCCAAUAUCCUCUCUUUGCAAUCUUUUUUACUGAUUACUUUCUUUUCUUUAUUUAUCUCUCUCUCUCUCUCUCUAUAAAUCUUCUUUACAUUUUCGAGAAGUACAGUUGUUUUUCUUGGAGCUCAAAAACCCAAGUGGGGGUUUAGCUGUGAAGAUUUGUACUUUUUUGGAAAGCUAGGUUGAGCAUGUGGAGACCCAAAUAUUGGUGCUUUCAAGAAUAAAAGAAUUUAUCUUUGUUGAAGUAAAUAAUACUUAGUUCAAGACUGAGAUUUUUUCUUGCAUAAAGUUUGGUGCUUUUUUCAUUUGGAUGAGAGCUGAUCUUGGAGCUGAGUGUUAAUUUGGUGUGUUUUGAAGAGGUGUUGAAGGGUUCCUAAUAAUGUCAGAGUGCCCAAAGUUAGAGCAAUUCUGAGUUAGCAGUUAUCACACUUCUCUACAUCAUGCCUCUCUCUGAGUUUUUGAAAAUGGCUAGAGGGAAGCUUGAAUCUGGCCAGCAGAAAAUCUCAUCUACAACUCAUCUCUCUUCUUUUCCUGAGAAUGAAUUGGUUGAGCUUGUAUGGGAAAAUGGUCAGAUUAUGAUGCAAGGCCAGUCCAGUAGUGCUAAGAAGAACCCUAUUCCUAAUAAACUUCCAUCAAAUGCCUCAAAGAUUGGGAAGUUUGGUGUGAUGGACCCAAUGUUGAAUGAUAUGCCAUUAUCUGUGCCCAUUGGUGAACUGGAUUUGAUUCAAGAGGAUGAAGGGGUGCCUUGGUUAGGUUAUGCAGCAGAUGAUAGUCUUCAACAAGAUUAUUGUUCUCAGUUUUUGCCUGAAAUAUCUGGUUUGACGACGAAUGAACCAGCCGGACAGAGUGAAUUUGGUUUAAUAAAUAAGAGAGGUAGUUCCGAUAAGAUGAUUAGGGAUUCACAGAGUGUUCCUAUACAUAAUGCUGUGAAUUUUGAUCAAAGAAAGGUUUCUCCUUCUUCCAAAUUUAGCCUGUUAUGUUCAUUGGCACCUCAGAAAGGUCAUGCGUCAAUUCCAUCCCUAGGACCAGGAGUUUCAGAUAUCUUUAGCAGUAAAACUAGCAAUAAUUCUGUGUCUGUUUUGGGGGAUUCAAAUCAAAGUCAAGUUUCAGCUGGUGAUGUUAAAAGCGUUAAAAUCCAAAAGCAAAAUAUGCCUGGAAGUUGCUCCAGCUUGCUGAACUUCUCGCAUUUCUCAAGACCUGCUACAUUUGUUAAAGCAACUAAGCUUCAAAAUAUUACUGGGGUCUUAGCCUCAGAUUCAUCUGCCUUAGAAGCAAAGGGAUGUAAAGAAGGAGAAAAUGUGACAAAUAGCCACAAUCAUGUUAAUGCUGCAGCAGUUGAAGACUAUUUAAGUUUCAAGAAGGAAAGUGGCCUCCAAUAUCCAACUAGUGCCGUACCUUCUCAACGCGAGUCAAGAGCAUCUGGGGCUAGCUUUCAUGAUAGAUCAUCUCGUGUCGAACAGUCUGAUAAUGUAUUCAGAGAGAGUAAUAGUGACAAUACUCCUGGUCAGUUUACUGGUGCAAAAGCAACGACAGAUACAGCUGAUGGUGAGGGAAAUGCUGAACAUGGGGUUGUUUGCUCAUCUGUAUGCUCUGGUAGCAGUGCAGAGAGAGGAUCAAGUGAUCAGCCUCAUAAUCUAAAGAGGAAAUCCCGUGAUAAUGAGGAUUCCGGGUGUCCAAGUGAAGAUGUUGAAGAAGAAUCUGUUGGUGUAAAAAAAAGUUGCCCUACUCGAGGAGGUACAGGUUCAAAGAGAAGCCGAGCUGCAGAGGUGCAUAAUUUAUCUGAGCGGAGGCGAAGGGAUAGGAUUAACGAAAAGAUGCGUGCAUUACAGGAACUAAUACCCAACUGCAACAAGGCGGAUAAAGCUUCAAUGCUUGAUGAAGCUAUUGAAUAUUUGAAGACACUUCAACUGCAAGUACAGAUAAUGUCUAUGGGAGCAGGGUUUUGUGUCCCGCCAAUGAUGUUUCCUGCUGGAGUGCAGCACAUGCAUGCUGCUCAAAUGCCACAUUUCUCUCCAAUGGGUUUAGGGAUGGGUAUGGGAAUGGGGAUGGGCUAUGGAAUGGGUAUGCUUGAGAUGAAUGGUAGAUCCUCUGGCUGCCCUAUUUUUCCAAUCCCCUCUGUUCAAGGAUCGCAUUUUCCGUCACCUCCAAUUCCUGCCUCUGCUGCUUAUCCAGGAAUAGCUGUAUCUAAUCGUCAUGCCUUUGCACAUCCUGGUCAAGGACUUCCCAUGCCAAUCCCACGACCAUCUUUGGCUCCUUUGGCAGGGCAAGCAUCAACUGGUGCUGCUGUCCCUUUGAACGUUGCAAGGGUAGGAGUUUCAGUGGAUAGACCGAGUGUACCACCGAUUUUGGAUUCCAAGAAUCCAGUACACAAGAAGAACUCACAGAUAGUCAAUAAUGCUGAAUGUAGCCUCCCAAUAAAUCAGACAUACAGUCAGGUGCAAGCAACAAACGAAGUUCUGGACAAAUCAGCUUUGGUGCAAAAAAAUGAUCAACUCCUCGAUGGUACUGAUAGUGCAGCUAAUAUCUUGACCAACCAAACAGAUGUGCCAGGAAGUGAAGCGGGUGAGUUUGUUAGAAAAGACACUGCGACAUUCAGUUGAUCAGUGACUCCAAUGUAGUGAGGAGCAACUUCAUUCGUUCUGCUAUGAUGUAAAAGUUCCAGUUUGUAGGCACAGCUUUAUGUUCUGAUCAACAACGGUGGAUUGGUUAUCUUAUCAAAAGAAGUCAUUUUCUCAUUCAGUGAAAGGUCCCCCCUUUUAAAUCCAACCAGUAUGCAGUUCUGAAAUCUAUUUGUUGCUAACUAUAGAGGUCCAUGCUGGUUUUGGCGACUACCAUCGGAAUGUAGCAUCAGCAUACACUACGAAUGCACAGAUUUUGGUAAUGUAAAAGAGAGACCAUAAUUUUCUCCUCCAAAUGUACAUCCAAGAUAUCUAAAAGCAGUUGGAGCAUACUUCUUCCCACCCUCCCCAUGAAGGAUCAAGUAUUUGGCUUCUCAACUGUAUGUUAUCUAUACCCGACAUGUCAACAUGUUCUCUAAAUAAUAAGAAAGCGCAAGCGAGUUCUCAUUUAUUCA